rnacentral:rRNA from 1 species
CCCUUAACGAGUAACAAUUGGAGGGCAAGUCUGGUGCCAGCAGCCGCGGUAAUUCCAGCUCCAAUAGCGUAUAUUAAAGUUGUUGCAGUUAAAAAGCUCGUAGUUGGAUUUUGGGACGUGCAUUCACAUUCAUAAAGGUGUAAAAGCCUGUGGAAGCGUCUUACUGCUCUAUUGGCGCUAGGUCACCUUCACGGGUGGUCUGGUGUCAAGGUAGUUUGACGUUGCGGGCUCGGUCCAUCAGUGUGCCUCGCAAGGGGCCUCCAUUGGUGUGUUAACCGGCCCGCCCGUCCCCUCCUUCUGGAUUCCCGUUCCUGCUAUUGAUUUAGUGGGAACGUCACAGGGGGUCAGUCGUGUAAAAAGCGGCUGGUCUCUGGGGCCCAGAUCGUUUACCGUGAAAAAAUUAGAGUGUUCAAAGCGGGCAGAUAUUUUUCCUGCCACCGAAUACAUUAGCAUGGGAUAAUGGAAUAGGACCCUGACCUCCUAUUUUCAGUUGGUUUUGUUUACAGCGAGGUUAUAUCAGGGUAAUGAUUAAUAGGGAUAGUUGGGGGCAUUAAUAUUUAAUUGUCAGAGGUGAAAUUCUUGGGAUUUAUGAAAGAUUAACUUCUGCG